rnacentral:misc_RNA from 1 species
UGGAGAGUUGUUUAUUGUUAUGCAAUGUAUCAAAAUCCUUUACAUUCAAAUCUGUGUACAAUAAUGUGAGCAAUCAAUUAGGAAAAUUUACAGCUCAUUGAAAACAAGCUUACAUAGACCCGUAGAUAUUAAUUUAUUGGUGUACCACACCUUACAUCUGCAUCAAGAUGGAAAAAAUAAUUCUAAAACUUUUAGCACUUGCUGAAAAUUAUCUGGGUUAUAGGUGAGUCUAUUGGCGGUAGGGGGAGACAUAGAUAAACAUCUUCAAACUGA